rnacentral:rRNA from 1 species
UACGGGGGGAGCAAGCGUUGUUCGGAUUUACUGGGCGUAAAGGGCGCGUAGGCGGCCAGCACAAGUCAGUUGUGAAAUCUCCGAGCUUAACUCGGAAAGGUCAACUGAUACUGUGCGGCUAGAGUGCGGAAGGGGCAACUGGAAUUCUUGGUGUAGCGGUGGAAUGCGCAGAUAUCAGGAAGAACACCAACGGCGAAGGCAGCUCGCUAGGACGGUACUGACGCUGAGACGCGAAAGCGUGGGGAGCGAACAGG